CUGAAAUUGUGAACCAUCCUUGGUCUCAUCUUCCAAUUUAUCUGAACUGAUAUCACCAGACGUAGGUAUAGAAGAAGAGGGUGGCUUAUCACAAGCAGAAUCAUGGGUAUUAUUAACUUUACCACCAUCAUUGCCACACUCAGGGGGUUUCACAGUUUGGGCAGUUCCUAAACCACCCUCAUUCACACUACUCUCAGUAACCAACUUAGCUUGAGAAAAUUCUAGUGCAGCAGGUUCUUGAUUUUGGGUGGUAUAAGUAUUAGGUGAUUCCUGUCUUAUUCGCAAUUUAACUGACUUUGGCCUAUUAGAAAUAGAAUUGAUAGCUGCACUGUUCUCAGGAGGUUUCACAGUUUGGGCAGUUUCUAAACCACCCUCGUUCUCACUACACUUGGAAACCAACUUGGCUUGAGAAGGUUCUUGUGCAGCAGCUUC
rnacentral:lncRNA from 1 species